rnacentral:rRNA from 1 species
GACGAACGCUGGCGGCGUGCUUAACACGUGCAAGUCGAACGGAAAGGCCCUGCUUUUGUGGGGUGCUCGAGUGGCGAACGGGUGAGUAACACGUGAGUAACCUGCCCUUGACUUUGGGAUAACUUCAGGAAACUGGGGCUAAUACCGGAUAGGAGCUCCUGCUGCAUGGUGGGGGUUGGAAAGUUUCGGCGGUUGGGGAUGGACUCGCGGCUUAUCAGCUUGUUGGUGGGGUAGUGGCUUACCAAGGCUUUGACGGGUAGCCGGCCUGAGAGGGUGACCGGCCACAUUGGGACUGAGAUACGGCCCAGACUCCUACGGGAGGCAGCAGUGGGGAAUAUUGCACAAUGGGCGGAAGCCUGAUGCAGCAACGCCGCGUGCGGGAUGGCGGCCUUCGGGUUGUAAACCGCUUUCGCCUGUGACGAAGCGUGAGUGACGGUAAUGGGUAAAGAAGCACCGGCUAACUACGUG